UUUAAUGGAAAGGAACGUUACGAUAAUAUUAAAUCAAAAAAAACGCGAAAUAUUGUUGUUAUAUUAACAACGUUGAGUUAAUUACAAAGUAUAACCACACUUUUUAUUGUUUAACACUACAUUUUAAGCAGCAAUGAUAACUGGCUCAAAGCUAACGCGGAAACUUCACGUUUGUUAAGCAAAAUAUCUUGGUUGUGUUAAGGCUGUUUGGCGCACCGUUGAAGAUGUGUAUCCAUGGUGCAAACUCCAAACAUUUAUAUGUUUACAAUUAUGUCAAAUGAGGAUGUUUGCAAAAAAUUGCGAUGAUUGAAGCUUGGGAAGAAAAAAAUCCCAAAAAAUGGACCCCCAUCCUGCCCCAAGCAUGAGAGCAACAAGUCGAUUAAAUGUUUUUUUGUAUUAUUUUUAACUAGACUUAUCAAUAAAUUUUA